UACAGAGGUCUCAAGCGUUGUUCGGAUUCAUUGGGCGUAAAGGGUGCGUAGGCGGCGCGGUAUGUCUCUUGUGAAAUCUCCAGGCUCAACUUGGAGUCUGCAAGGGAAACUGCCGUGCUUGAGUACUGGAGAGGUGAGUGGAACUCCUAGUGUAGAGGUGAAAUUCGUAGAUAUUAGGAAGAACACCAGUGGCGAAGGCGGCUCACUGGCCCCGGUACUGGACGCUGAGG
rnacentral:rRNA from 1 species